GCACGUCAUCGUAAGCAUUGCAAAAUGUAGUUGUUAAAUUCGCUCUUCAAUCAUUAACAACAUUUACAAUGUUUGCAGGCUGUCAACGUUGAUGGC
ensembl:ncRNA mir-2497 mir-2497 stem loop